rnacentral:rRNA from 1 species
UACGGAGGGGGCUAGCGUUGUUCGGAAUUACUGGGCGUAAAGCGCACGUAGGCGGCUUUGUAAGUUAGAGGUGAAAGCCCGGGGCUCAACUCCGGAAUUGCCUUUAAGACUGCAUCGCUAGAAUUGUGGAGAGGUAAGUGGAAUUCCGAGUGUAGAGGUGAAAUUCGUAGAUAUUCGGAGGAACACCAGUGGCGAAGGCGGCUCACUGGUCCGGUACUGACGCUGAGGUGCGAAAGCGUGGGGAGCAAACAGG